ensembl:lncRNA
GGAAGUUGCAUCAGUAGUCUGUACGGAGUCUCUGUGUCCGGGAAGACGAUGCUCCAGAGAGAAGACGGGUUCUGAUUGCAGGAACACGGACUGCACUUCUCCAGCACGCUAUUCACUGCGGUCUGUGAAGCCGAGACGUUUUCCUGAAUACUGAUGUUCCACUUUUCAUCCAGAGCCAAAAUUAGCUCAUGGGACGGACUAUGUGAGCGACGGAUCGCUAUACGGAUCGUGUGGGUGUGGCUUACAUGGUGAAGAGACGGCACCAGGAUGCACUAUGGGAAGAAGGCGAGCCGGCGGAGGACGUGUGAUGCUCUGGGCAAAAUGUUCUGAUGGGAAACCUUGUCUCCUGGCAUUCACGUGGAUGUUACUUUGACACGUACAACCUACCUAAAUACUGUUGCAGACCAGGUACACCCCUCCAUGGUAACGGUAUUC